AUAAAGUGGCGAACGGCUGAGUAACACGUGGGCAACCUGCCCUUUGCACUGGGAUAGCCUCGGAAACCGAGGUUAAUACCGGAUACUCCAUAUUUGUCGCAUGGCGAAUAUGGGAAAGCUCCGGCGGCAAAGGAUGGGCCCGCGGCCUGUUAGCUAGUUGGUGGGGUAGUGGCCUACCAAGGCAAUGAUGGGUAGCCGGGUUGAGAGACCGACCGGCCAGAUUGGGACUGAGACACGGCCCAGACUCCUACGGGAGGCAGCAGGG
rnacentral:rRNA from 1 species